rnacentral:rRNA from 1 species
GACAACGCUGGCGGCGUGGAUUAGGCAUGCAAGUCGAACGGUAGGAUACCUUCGGGUAUCUGAGAGUGGCGAACGGGUAAGUAACACGUAGGUGAUCUACCCUCAAGAUUGGGACAACCCAGGGAAACUUGGGCUAAUACCGGAUGAAAGCAGCAGUGAUGUUGUUUGAAAGGUGGCGUAAGCUGCCGUUUGGGGAUGAGCCUGCGCUCUAUUAGUUAGUUGGCGGGGUAAAGGCCCACCAAGGCGAUGAUAGAUAGGCGGCCUUAACGGGUGGUCGCCCACACUGGGAUUGAGAUACGGCCCAGACUCCUACGGGAGGCAGCAGUCGAGAAUAGUCUACAAUGGCCGAAAGGCUGAUAGUGCGACGCCGCGUGAACGAAGAAGCCCUUCGGGGUGUAAAGUUCUUUUAUAUGUGAGCAGUGCUUUCUAUGUGAACAGCAUGGGGAGAGAGAUAUUAGCAUAUGAAUAAGCAACGGCUAACUCCGUG